UAAUUCUUUUAUGAGAGGAUUGCAUCCAACAUCACUCUUCCUGUAUUCUUUGGAGGAGCUUCCGCCUAUUGCCUCUGCCCUCCCUGCACCGUGGGACACAUGAAGUAGUCUUAGUUCCAGCAGAUGGUAACAUCAGCUUCCUGGCCAACCUGGCAUUUCCCCAGGGAAGAAGGGAAGACGGAAUAAGGUUAUUAAUAUAUUCAAGUGAUAAUUUUUUUUUAAAUUUUCUUAAAGUCUCAUUUGACCUUAGUGCCUAUAAAUAAAUUUAUGUUGUUUUUUCAU